UACAGAGGGGGCAAGCGUUAUUCGGAAUUAUUGGGCGUAAAGGGCGCGUAGGCGGCUUUGCAAGUGACGGGUGAAAGCCCUCGGCUUAACCGAGGAACUGCCUGUCAGACUGUAAGGCUUGAGACCGGGAGAGGUGAGUGGAAUUCCCAGUGUAGCGGUGAAAUGCGUAGAUAUUGGGAGGAACACCGGUGGCGAAGGCGCCUAUCUGGCCCAAUAUUGACGCUGAGGCGCGAAAGCUAGGGGAGCAAACGGG
rnacentral:rRNA from 1 species